GACGAAGGGGGCUAGCGUUGUUCGGAAUUACUGGGCGUAAAGCGCGUGUAGGCGGUUUUCCAAGUUGGGUGUGAAAGCCUUGGGCUUAACCCAAGAAAUGCACUCAGUACUGGAAGACUAGAGGACCGGAGAGGAUAGUGGAAUUCCCAGUGUAGUGGUGAAAUACGUAGAGAUUGGGAAGAACACCAGUGGCGAAGGCGGCUAUCUGGACGGUUUCUG
rnacentral:rRNA from 1 species